UACGGAGGGUGCAAGCGUUGCUCGGAAUCACUGGGCGUAAAGCGCUCGCAGGCGGCCUGUCAAGUCAGGUGUGAAAUCCCAGGGCUCAACCCUGGAACUGCACUUGAAACUGGCAAGCUAGAGUACGAGAGAGGGGAGCGGAAUUCCUGGUGUAGAGGUGAAAUUCGUAGAUAUCAGGAGGAACACCCGUGGCGAAAGCGGCUCCCUGGCUCGAUACUGACGCUCAUGAGCGAAAGCGUGGGUAGCAAACAGG
rnacentral:rRNA from 1 species